rnacentral:misc_RNA from 1 species
GAAAUGCGAUACUUGGUGUGAAUUGCAGAAUCCCGUGAACCAUCGAGUCUUUGAACGCAAGUUGCGCCCGAAGCCAAUUCCAGGCUACAGUAAAGCUUCAUAGGGUCUUUCUGUCC